CAAGGAAUUUUCGUCAAUGGGCGCAAGCCUGAACGAGCAACGCCGCGUGGAGGAUGACGGCCUUCGGGUUGUAAACUCCUUUUGGGGGGGACGAUAAUGACGGUACCCCUUGAAUAAGGCUCGGCUAACUCUGUGCCAGCAGCCGCGGUAAUACAGAGGAGCCAAGCGUUGUCCGGAUUGACUGGGCGUAAAGCGCACGCAGGCGGGUGCGCGCGUGGGGUGUGAAAUCUGGCCGCUUAACGGCCAGGCGCCAUCCCAUACGGCGCGCCUGGAGUGAUGCAGAGGUCGGUGGAAUUGCCGGUGUAGUGGUGAAAUGCGUAGAGAUCGGCAGGAACACCCAGGGGGAAACCAGCCGACUGGGCAUCUACUGACGCUGAGGUGCGAGAGCGUGGGGAGCGAACCGGAUUAGAUACCCGCGUAGUCC
rnacentral:rRNA from 1 species